ACUGGAGUUCAGACGUGUGCUCUUCCGAUCUGAAUGCGGUAGUUUCUGCAGUCACUCCCUUGAUCAAAUUAGGUUGUUCAAGGUAGACCAAGUCUUCAUAUUUUCACAUGGAAUUGGGUGAGGGAACUUAAGAGUUUAAGUUUCUCGUCUUAGGAUCAUCCGGGGUCAUUCGUACUCGUCCGCGAGAGGUGAAAUUCUUGGACCGGACGAAGACGACCAGCAGCGAAAGCAUCUGUCAGGGAUGUUUUCUGCGACAAAGGACGAAGGUCAGGGUAUCGAAGACGAUUAGAUACCGUCGUAGUCCUGACUGUAAACUAUGCCAACUUGGGUCUUGCUGGGCGAUGCUUUGUGAGACCCACACAGAAAUGAAAGUGUAUGGGUUCUGGGGGUAGUAUGGACACAAGUCUGAAACUUGAAGGAAUUGACGGAAGAGCACCAUAAGACGUGGAGCUUGCGGCUUAAUUUGACUCAACGCGGGAAAACUUACCAGGUCAAGACAUGGGCGUGAUUGACAGGCUAAUGACUUUUCUCGAUUCCAUGGAUGGUGGUGCAUGGUCGCACUUAGUUGGUGCAGUGAUUUGUCAGGUUUAUUCCGGUAACGAACGAGACCUCGGCCUUGUAAAUAGCUAUGCUGCUUACAGGGACAUUGGCGGCUACGCCAAGGAAGCUCGAGGCAAUUGCAGAUCUGGAAUGCCCUUAGAUGUCCUGGGUCGCACGCGUGCUACAAUGACGCCACGAACGAGCUUGCAUGAUGAAAGUUAUGCAUAAUCAGCAGUCGGCGUCUUAAGGGAUAGUCUCUUGUAACUGUGGGACUCCAACUAGGAAUGUCUCGUAAGCACAAGUCAACAUCUUGUGUUGAUUACGUCCCUGCUCUUUGUACACACCGCCCGUCGCUCCUACCGAUCGAGUGUUUAGGUGAACUUGACAGAUCGGAAGAGCAC
rnacentral:rRNA from 1 species